UGUUUGUGUAGUAGAGGUUUGGUGGAAUUGAAAUUAUGUGAUAGUUGGAUGAGGAUUAGUGUGGCGGAUUUUAUGGGAUUUGAUUGGUAAUGAGGCUAGUGGGGAGUUGAGAGUAUUAUUUUGAAUUUAAUUUAAUUUUAAUUUAAUUUUUUAUUUGUUUCCAAAUUUUUUUUUCUAUUUUCCUCACGUUUUUGGUUCUUUUGCUCAUUUUCUUUUGACCUUUUUUGGGUCCCUUCCCCUUUUGCCUCUUUCUUCAACUUCGGCCUCUAAUUGCUCAAUUUAAUCGUUGUCACUUGGAUCCUUUUUGGUUCUUCUUUCGGUUUAGUAAGUAGGGUUUGUACAGCCCAAUUUUGGGCCCAAACUAAAAAACCUUAAGCCCAAUUAUAGCCCAUAACCUAAACAGAGAACAGAAACCCUAGGAGCCGCCUCUGCCCCUGUCCCAUCGCACCAUGCCUGUUCCACCGCCCUUGUCAGCCACCUACUCCUCAACUUGCUCCAAUCACCUGCACGAAGAAAAGAUAGCAAAUAAAUGUUGUAACAAAUCGGCUAUAAAGCCGAAUAGAAACCAAUAUAAAAAGGGGGGUUCGUUUUUUGUCAUAAACUCAUACACAUCAAUUGAAACGAAAAAGAGAAAUCAAAAUACUAUUUUUCUCUACAAAGGCACAUCGUUUUUUUACUUAUAUUUUUAGAUAUAACAUACCAUAGAAGACACAUAGAUAUUUUCAAAGAAAAGAGAAGAAAAGCAUUACCUUUCUUGAGAUUGGAGGAAGAAACCGAGGGUUUAUUGUCUUUUGUUUUAUUUUUUAUUAAGAGUUUUGGGGUUUUUAAACGAGGAAGGGAAGGCCAAAUCGGCCGAAAAAAAGGGUGACUUGGGAACGCCGGCCACCGUAUACGGUGGCGGUUCGACGACGGCGGUGAAAUGGGUUCCUUUUGAAACCCAAACAGAUCUAAAAAUGAAGAAAAUGGGAGGGGGGCUGCUGGUCGUUUCUGG
rnacentral:lncRNA from 1 species